rnacentral:lncRNA from 1 species
CAACUAGUUUGGGCCACAGGCAUGGAGUGCAGUUAAACACUGCUGUGAUGGAAUUAUCAGUUCCCUUCACCUCUUCAUGUUUUACCUCUACAAAAUGUCUAUUGAGAAGUUUCAAAGCAGGUACCUGCUGCCUCAUCAUCGGCAUGAUGAUUUUAGGGAAGUGCCACUGUACAGAGCCGAGACCUGCACACUCCGAACGCACUUUCUGUACUCCCUGAACUUAAUCAACAAUAGACAAGUAGAAGAACAGAACUUGCAGAAUUCUCACAUCCAGUUCUUGGAUGAAUUUUCACAGCCGCAGCUCUGUCACCUUUAACAUCAAAAGACAAAGCAAAGCCUCUAAUAAUGAGAUCGUGCUGAGCUACAAGUCCACUGGCCUCAAUGGAAAGCUCAGAUUUCUGCUUCCCAGGGAGAGAAAUCAGAGGCAGGACCUGAGACUGUGUGUUUAACACAGGGCAUCUGAGCAGAUGCACACUGAGCAUGCGGAACAAGGGGCACAGAAAUGACACACAAUCCUACAGACUGGAGGCAAGUCGCAGAGAAAACACAUGCAGGGACUCGGGGACAAGCAGAGAGGGGGUGUAUGGCAGUGCACCUGGUUUUGAAGGGUAUGGAACAUCCCCGAUACUUGAGCUUUGAAAGCUAUGUGACUGGUUUUAAUUUGUGGAGAUAAAUUUCAAUAUAAAAUUGGGGUUGGGCAUCAUUAGUUUUUCACCAGUGGGAUCUCUGCAAAUCCAGAAAUGGUUCUGUAACUAGACACCCGAUGGUAGAGAAUGAUUGUAUUCAUAUUAUGAAAUAAACUACACAAACAGCAUAAAACAGGGAGCAAAAUAGAAUGCUCUUAUCCAUAGUCUGAAUAAAACUGGCCCAUCUCAUUGUCUCCAGAUCACCUUUAGCAAGUGUCAUAUUAAACUAAAACAGCAA